rnacentral:rRNA from 1 species
UAGUCAUAUGCUUGUCUCAAAGAUUAAGCCAUGCAUGUCUCAGUGUAAACUUUUAAACAGUGAAACUGCGAAUGGCUCAUUAAAACAGUUAUAGUUUAUUUGAUAGUCAACUUUACAUGGAUAACCGUGGGAAUUCUAGGGCUAAUACAUGCGUAAACCCGCAAGGGAUGUGUUUAUUAGUAUUAAAACCAUCACUGUAGCAAUACAGUACCAUUGGAAUGAUAAUAACCGUUCGGACCGCACGCAUUUGUGGCGGUAGAUCAUUCAAGUUUCUGAC